UUUAAAAAAAUAACAAGAAUUCAAGAAUUGAGACUGUGUAUGUCAGAUCUUGAAUGAUUCACCGAAAUUCUCCUCUGGUGACUAUGUCUCCUCUUCAACCCAUGGGUAUGCUCAUAAAGGGGGUCAACUAUAUGGGGAAAAGGUUCCUGAUUAUCCUGUUAUAGACAGAAGACAAUAUGGGGAAAGACAAAGUUCAUAUAUGGGAAGGGACUUGCAAAAUGAAUCAACUGGAAGAUAUGCUGAUUCUAUCAGUUUCGCACAUCAGAGUGAGAUUUAUGAUCGGAUUGAUCAGGUAGUUCUGCUUCGGCAAGAACAAUUAUUGAAGUCACAAUCAUUGCAAUCUGCUUCUCUUGAUGGGAAUGCCAGGUGACUAUUUAUUGAAAAGUGUUUAGGUGGGGCUUAAUUUCCUUAGCCGAUUCGUGCCGAUCUUGAAAAGUGUACCAGGAUAUUUGAAAAUAUAAUCCCUCACCAAAAAUUGCUGAUCUCCUCCAUCGAAAAUGAUCUUCUCAAUCACCUCAUCUCUUGAAGUUUCCCCUGUAACGGUGUAGUAUCUUCUCCCAACGGUUUCUUUAUACUCCGACAUCAUCCUCUGCCGAAGCGAUUGGAAAUCGAUCAUCAACUCCUUCAAUUUCUUCCUCAAUCCGCUCGUUACAGCGAUUCUCGUUCGGAGAAGUAUUUUGAAUUUGUACUAAUUGAACUGCCAUGCAAUAACAAAUUCUCACUUCGUAUGAAAAUGAAAACGUUUGUCCCCACAAGAAGAACGAGAGGCAAGGAGUAGUUGAAGAGGAUCAAGCUAAGAGCUUUAAGUUUCCAACGAAGCAACACGAUUUGCCACUCCAAUCCUCUUAAUCCAAAAUUAGAUAUUUAUCUUUGUUUUAUAUCAAUUUAAUUUCUUUUUUGAUCGAACAAUGAAUGUUUGAGAUUUGUUAAUGACAAUGUUGCCUCUAUGCUCUGCAACUCCAACUUGUUCUUCUCAUUCUCAGGUCAGUUCCUUAAAACUUAACUUGUUUAGGUAUUAGUAAAGUUUACACACUUUCUUAGUAAAGUUCUCAACUUUACAAAAUUAAUCUAUGAAAUAUCUUGACACCUGCCAAGAUUGCUUUUCAAAAGGUGAUCAUAGAUUUUAGCACCCUUUUGUUUUUAAUCUUUGUUUUACUUCUUCUACAUGCUGAGUGAACUGUGUUUAUUAAUCAGGUUUAUAUUGCUAUUGAGGGUUUUGAGAAAACUCUUGGCUUUGAUCCAAAUGAUGCAAUCGUUCCAUUUGUUUUGUUGGCUGGUGCCUCUGCCACUUUAUGAUUUGGUGGCAGGGUCUUCUUUUGAGUGUCGACAUACAGCGGUUAUGCGGGAGAUUUGUCUCCUCAAUUGACUUUGGAGGUCCUGACAGGGAAAGAUAAUUCUGUGCUCAUUGAUAUCCGACCCGAG